UACGUAGGGGGCAAGCGUUGUCCGGAAUUAUUGGGCGUAAAGCGUGCGUAGGCGGCUGCGCAAGUCGGUUGUGAAACCCCGGGGCUCAACCCCGGAACUGCAUCCGAUACUGCGUGGCUAGAGGUAGGUAGGGGAGAUCGGAAUUCCUGGUGUAGCGGUGAAAUGCGCAGAUAUCAGGAGGAACACCGGUGGCGAAGGCGGAUCUCUGGGCCUUACCUGACGCUCAGGCACGAAAGCUAGGGGAGCGAACAGG
rnacentral:rRNA from 1 species